rnacentral:rRNA from 1 species
AGCGAACGCUGGCGGCAGGCUUAACACAUGCAAGUCGAACGGGCGUAGCAAUACGUCAGUGGCAGACGGGUGAGUAACGCGUGGGAACGUACCUUUUGGUUCGGAACAACCCAGGGAAACUUGGGCUAAUACCGGAUAAGCCCUUACGGGGAAAGAUUUAUCGCCGAAAGAUCGGCCCGCGUCUGAUUAGCUAGUUGGUGUGGUAACGGCGCACCAAGGCGACGAUCAGUAGCUGGUCUGAGAGGAUGAUCAGCCACAUUGGGACUGAGACACGGCCCAAACUCCUACGGGAGGCAGCAGUGGGGAAUAUUGGACAAUGGGCGCAAGCCUGAUCCAGCCAUGCCGCGUGAGUGA